AUCUAUCUCUCUCUCUCUCUCUCUCUCUCUCUCUCUCCCUUUUUCAAAUCGGAGAUCUCCACCACGAGCUCGAGCUCGAGCUGCUCUACCUAGGGAUUUUCGGAGAUUUCGCCCUCAAUCGCCUUUUCGGGCAAUUUCUCACUUGGAUCUACCCGGAGAUUGGUCUUCUUCGAAUGAUUUACCCAAAAAUUUUGGGCUAUUUGCUGCUAAAUCGACCUCAAUCCAGUUCUCUAAGAAAGGGUUUCACUAAUUUCAGCUGAUUCUAUAGCCUGAGUUUCCCAAUCACAAUAUUUCACAUUUUUUUCAAUUAUUUGGAGUUGAUUCCUUGUGAUUUGAUUUUUAUUAAGGCAUUUUGUUGUUUAAUUGCAUAUUGUAAUUGUAUAAUUUGAUUCUGUUUUAGGUUUACUGUUUUGAGUUUUUUUUUCUUUUUCUAAAUAUCCAUUGCUAGAUCUGUGAGUGGACAAAUUGAAGAGAACAACUAAUUUAUUUGCUUAUAAGAAUAGAAUGUGCAUGAAUAGGAUAGAAUAUAGGAUAUAUAUAUAUAUAGAUUGAUGUAGAUAUAAAUUAUGCAUAAUAUUGUUGCAGUGCUUUGUUGAGUCUGCGUGGUAUAGUUGCAGUUUGUAUUACUUUGCUUUGUUGAUGUAAGUGCUAAAAUAAGCCCCGGUUGAAAUGUGAUCUCUUAGGCUAGAGUUUAAGUGCUUGAAGAAUCUCUUUUAGACUUUGGAUAGGUUGGCCUGAACCACGGACGAAGCUAGCACUCGAUUAUGAGGGAGGCCAAAAUACAUAAAAAUUAAAAUUUUAGCAAAUAAACAAGAUUUACGUAGUCAAAUUUUUUAUGAGAAAAUAUAUUGGCUAAAUAAUUAGUGUAAAAAAUCAUUACCCCUUUUUAUGUAUACUUACUUAACUUCUAAUUAUUUUACUUAUAUUAUUUCACUUAAAUAACUUUGAAAUUUACUAAAUCUAAUAGCAAUUCAGUAAAUGAUUUAAUUUUUUAAUUUUUACUAAAUAUAAUUGUGACAAUAAAUAACUAUUAGUUGACAGAGCUAUUAACUUUACUAUAACCUUUAAUUUAAUUAAAUAAAAAAUUAUCUAAAAUAAUUAGAAGUUAUAAAGGUACUAAAUAAAAAAAAAAAUCAGAGUUGAGAGAGCAUUGUAUUAGCGCCAAAAUUUUUUAAAAAAAAUUAAUUACUCAUCAUACUUUUAAAAUUAAAUAAAAAUAUUUUUUUAAAAUUUUUUAUAUAUAAAGGACUACUAUGCAAAUUAUAAAAAUUUGGGGGGGGGGGGGCCAUAGCCCCCCUCAUUCCCGGCAUAGCUUCACCCCUGGCCUGAACUAUAAUGCUGUGGAGACUUUAAACUGCUUUAUAUUUGGCCCCAAAUGCCGAUAGUUCAAACUGGGUAGAGCAAUACAAAUCAAUUUGCGACCCUUUCAGAAUUCUGUUUUUCAAUUUAAAUAUUCUAAAGAACAAUUUUUGGUGCACUGAUGCUUUAUGACUUUGAUAUUCGGGACCUUUGAAAGUUUAAUCUACAUUGUUUCCAACCCUAUUUCCUUGACCAUAUCUCAGAUAUAAUUCCCUUUUGUGGCUGUUACAGGUUUAGUUCAGCUUUUACAUGCAUUCAAACUUUUUUGGUCGGCAUCAUAGGUGCACGUUGUGUGUGCGCGCGCACACGUAUGUCCAUGUGGUUGCUUGUACAUACAUUUGUGAGUGUGUGUGCACGCGCUUAUGCGUAUAGAUAUGCGCUUGCACCUGUGUAGCUCUCAUUAAUCAUAUUCAAUAUUUAUUUCGAAUUUUUGAGAUCAAGGUGCUUGCUCACAAACAGUGUCCCACCACCAUUCAGUGCUUCAUUCUACAACAUUAGGAACAAAAUUAGGGGGGGUUUUUGAGACUUUAAUUGUCACGCCCCGAGCCUGCCAAUUUGGUCGGUUCGGGCUCGUAUACAGACGCCGAACGAACAAAACCUCCUCUGUUCACCCAAGGCUCAACAACAACAACAAACAUGUAUAAAGAAAUGCCCAGGAAAAAUUUCUAAUAUACAUGGCUUGCACAAGAGCAAGCAACACAAGCAAGUGAAAGUAAACUAACUAAAGCAUUCAUACAUUGUAUCUUGAUUACCUUAAAUCAAAUACAAAGCUUGCAUGUUAUAACAUUCAUACAUUUACAUUGCUAUCUCUCAAAUGAAUAAUUUACAUUUCCCUUUAUCAACUAUAACAGAUGAAAUAUACAAGGUAUAACUAUACUCAAUGGAUGUCGCUAUCUACUGCGAGCUGUCCCUGUCACGAUCCUUGACCAUCCCGCACGAACUAAAACCUGUAUGGUUAAUGGUGUGAGAACUACUAAAAGUUCCCAGUGGGUUCGGCCGGCGACCUCGCCGACUCACCCACUAGGUCUAUUCAGGCAUAUGUAGGCAAGAAAAGAAAGUAGAUAGUAACCAGCUAAAACGUGUAACUACUACAAUGCAUGUACAAAGCUGAAAAGGGCAAUAUGUAACAGAUGAAUUUUAUGCAUGCAUGCUAUUGAUAACCAAUACCCAAUCAAUCUGGUUAACCAUUUAGUUAACUAUAACUCACCAACUCAAUCCCUUUUUGUCGGGCCCUAAGCUGCCUCCCGACGGGACCGUCUACUGGGAAGGCUUAUACGAUCAACCCAGCUGAUGACACACUCCGGAGCUUAUCGCCCAAGGAGGAGCGACCUUACCUCGAGCAUUAGACUAAUGUGAGUAGAUCCAACCCUCACAUAGAGGAUUCAACAGCUGACAAUGCUACACUUUAGAUUCUAACUAGCUCUUUAUGCUAGUUUACAAUUCCAAUCUCGAUGCUAACCAAUUCUUCUAGUCAUAAUGUCACCAAAUUUACUAUUGUCAUAGUCCACAGUAAUUCACACAUUCAUAGGGUUCUAUGUCCAUAGGUUCAUUACAUUGACGAGAAUUCAAUUGUUCAGUUACUAACUGCAUAACACAAUUUCUCUAUAAUGCAUGAAUAUGAUGCAAUCCAUAUAUAAAUAUGCUCAACAAGACGACAUAGACAUAAAGAGAGAUUCAAAGAUUUCGGAUAGCACCACCCACCUGUAGGGAUGCCGAAACACCAGAACCAACGUCUCGAAAUAUAUAAACAACUAGCCCUCGCGACUCGAUGCAAACGAGGCUAGAACGAAGCGUUUCUUAAUUAGCGCAUCGUAGGACCGUCGGAAUAUCAAUUCGAACUUCCGAGCACAUCUAACCUUCAUUCAUAGAGGAAUAAAAGGGAUUAAACCUAAGUCACAUUCACAUCUUUAUAAACUUUACAUUUCAACUCCAACUUGUAUAUAUGUAUAUACUAUCAACAUAUACAUAUACAUAGUCUUACUAUUAAGUUCCUUAUCCAUCUUACACUUUAGUAACCAAGAAUUAGGGACAAAUAACAUCAACUUUAAGCAGGGUUUAGUAUAAUCCUAGCUCAGAUUUUAUCUCCCAACAACUAUUACAAAGUAUACAUAUAUAUAUUCACACAUGUAUAUCACAUAGAACUGGUUCCAUAGAGCUCUAAACACUUAGAAACUUCAACACUUAAGAAGUCCUUUAUUUUAACUUUUCUUCACAGCAGGGGACAUCUUUCCAAUAAGAAUUCAAAAUUAAUUCAUCUCAGAUUUUGCUCUAACCAUUCAUCAACAUGUACAUAUAUAUACAUAUAUGUAGUUUUAUAUAGUUUCAAGUACUAAUUUCAACUUUAACCACCAAUUCUACACAAGUUUUAAUCAUUUAGAAUCCUUUCUUAGGCAGCAACACUUAACUCUAGCUGAAAAAUAAGUUAUUUACCUCAAGUUGUUGCUCAACUAGCUUGCUUUCAGCUCCAACAACCAAUAAACUCCAAUGCUGAAAAUCUGCUCCACCAAUUUCCUUACAGCUCACUACAAUUUCAGCAUAAGCAAUUAAUUCUAUUGUCUAUAUACUAAUACAAGUUGCAAACACUUAAAAAUCCUUCAUUCCACAUAUUUAUACAGCAAAGGAGAUCAUUCAAACCAGGAUUCAAAGUCAACUCAUUUCAGAUUUUACCCUACAAUCCCUAAUGAAUUGUACACACACAUAUAUAGUAUACAUGUAUGCAUGCUGUUUUCAGCAUGUGCUCAAGGUUUUCUAUAUACUACUACCAUCUUUAAUCACUUAAAACCCUCUCAUAUAGUAGCUAGUCCAAGUCCGAACUAAUAAACAGCUCCUUACCUCAGGUUUCCACGCUUCCUCAGCUGAACCUUGCAGUUCGGCAGCUCCACAAGCCCCAAAAUUCCAACUCUGCCAGCACCAACUCACCAAGCCUCAACCAGCCUAGAGAGAGAAAGAAAGAGGAAAGAGAUGAAAAGAAAGAAGAGAGAGAGGGGGCUGAAUACGUAGGCAGGUGUAAUUAACCUGGGGCUAAAAGAUAAGCUCAAAAAAUUGCACUUUAACCCCUUAAAAGACUGAAACAGCAUUGCAAUCCAGCAGUUUACAGUUCAGUCCCUGCAGGUUUACAAAUCAGUCCCUACACGUUUACAAAUCAGUCCUGCACUAGACAGCAGCUGGCAGCAGCAGUUUUCAGCCCCUUUUGUGCAUCUAAUUUACUUCGAGUCCAUUCAAACACUUCCAAAACACAUUAAUAAACCUCCACAAGCUACUAAUUUAGCUCGGAAGCAACCAAUUCCAUUUUAGCAUUUAUCUUGAUCAUUUUGAUCAAGAUUAGCAACAUAAUCAAACUCCAACACACUACAUGGCAGCAGCAGCAAUUGGAGGCCCUUUUGCUCAUCUAGUUCACUCCGAAUCCAUCUAAUUACCUUCAAAGCAUGCCAAACACUAUCCCCAAGCUAUCAAUUUAGUUUGGGAAUACCACAUUUACAUUAUUGCUUCUCUUUGAGCAAUAAAAUUCCAAGUUAAUCUUGUAAUCCAAAACUCUCUUUCAUUUCACGCCCGAUGUGCAUCAAACACGCAAUUACCUCCAGAAAUCAUUCCCACACCUCCAAAAUCACUCGAGAAUGAUGCACAUCCAAUUCAAACUUCACUUUAAUCUUCCAGAGCAAAGUUAGCGUCGCAACUCAAAAUUUUAGUAUAUUACAUUAACCCUCAUAAGAUUUUGAGUACUUUGGUCAUGAGUAAUGACACUUUCUUUUUUCAAUGUUGGAUAAGAAUCAUUUUUAAUAUCAAACAUGUCUGAAAGUGACAGUGCUAAAAUUUUACAUCUGGCCAAGUAGGAAAAGUAAAUGUGAAGUACUUAACAUUAAUUAUCUCAUUCCUCUGUGCAUUAAGUUUAUGCAACAUCUCUUUCAAAAAUUCGAAAUAAAUAUUAAUUCUAGUACAAAUUCGAGAUACCUGUUUGGUGCAGAGAAAAAUUUGAAUUUUCUCUUGCAACAGGAAGUUAAAAUAAAAUUCUGAGUGUCCAAAGCAGAAGCUCCACUUUAAUAUUUCCAAUUUUGAAGCAAAAAGGAACUAUUUGGUAUAUUUCAAUAUAUUUCAUCAAAUAAUAUUAGAAUGUGUUUGAAAUAAAUGAUUUCGUAUGUAGGUGUUUAGUAUAAUGGGAUGUUUGAUACGUAAGAACUCUAUUCCAAUUUUGAUUCCUGGGUAGAAUAGGAAUGUCUCCUUAUCAUCCUUUUUUCUAGUUCGGCCUAAGAGAUCAGAUUGAUAAUUGAAUUCAGACGGAGUCAAAGCCUGGCAGGGCUAAACCAGUGCUGAAUUAGUGAGGUGGGUCAGGGUCAGACCCAUGCUUGGAUCAUCAAAGCUAUGAACAUUAAACCAAGAAAAGGUGGAAUUACGAUUAAUAAUUGGAGAUGUUACUGUUGCCCUAUCACAUUAAAUAGGGCCCAUUUAUUUAUUGAUGUGAGAUGUGCUGAAUUAGUAAGGUGUGUAGCUCUCAUUAAUCAUACUCCAUCUAUUUAUGGAUGGCCUUUGAGAUUCCAUCAUAUUCAAUACUUCAUCUAUUUAGGCUUUAAAAUGUUUGUUCACAACUAAGUUUUUUUAUAGGGGGCGGGGGGGGGGGGGCUAUGCGUUGGUUUCUCUUCUACAUUUGUUAUCCUCUGUUGCAAUCCAAGUGCAUCAGGUAUUGUCAACUUGUCAAUUUGAGAUUAUAAUUUAAUUGAUUUGUUUGUGAUUGAUUCAUAUUGAGGUGUUAGAUUAAUAAUAAUUAUCAAAUUUGUAUUGCAGAUAAUAUAUAGUAGAGAUGGCAAAGGUGCAAGUGCAUCGGAGCAGCAAGGAUUUCAAGCUACUAAGACUGCCCAACCUCGCAAGCGACUGUUUUUCCGAAAAAUGAACGACCGAAAAACGAG
rnacentral:lncRNA from 1 species